CAAAGCAGCUGCUCAGUAGAGGCUGCAAAUCUGUCUGCGGUUGGAAGGAAAUCUGAGUCUUCAGUACUGGAAGGCAUUGGGCGUUUCUCUUCUGCUUCAAAGAGAGGAAGUUCUGAGUCCCUUGCAGCCUUGCUUCCCUGCCUCAUCCUGCACCACGACAGUUCCUCUGGAGAAGCCUGCGAUGCUACUCUGGCUGCUGGUCAUCACCUUUGCUGCAGCCCCCAAAGGUACCCUUUCCCAAAUAGAAAUGGUGAUAUCAGGUCCCAAGGAAGGGACAGCUUCUGGAUCACUCCUCUUCACCUGUGCUGUGAAAGGAGCACCUCUGGUUAGCCCUUACUAUGACUGGAACUUUGUCCGUCUGUCUCCAGGAGGGAAGUUGCAAUUUCUAGGCUGGAUCUAUCCUUUUGGGAAUAACACAGGCUAUGCCCCAUCCUUCCAAGAUCGUGUCACCAUCUCUGCAGAUAAAGACAAAAACAAGGUUUACUUGCAGCUGCAUGCCCUUAGAGCCACAGAUAGAGCCACCUACUUCUGUGCUAGACAGCACACCAUAAAGCCAAUGGAGGAAGUGACAACACAAAAAGUGAGAAGACUGUUGUGGUGAUAGGACUUCUCAUGAUGACAGCUACCUGUACAAGGUCUGUGAAACAAGGAUAAGGUCUAAAAGAUCUUGGAACUUCCAAUCAAUCCACGUGUAACUGAUUUUGAAGUAAAG